GAUCAUUUGGUGAAAACUAUCACAAUGAAAUUUCAAUUCAUAGUUUAAUAUGAUUA
rnacentral:tRNA from 1 species